GUACUCGCUUCGGCGGUACAUGUCCUAAAAUUGGAACGAUACAGAGAAGAUUAGCAUGGCCCCUGCGCGAGGAUGACACGCAAAAUCGUGAAGCGUUCCACAUUUUA
rnacentral:snRNA from 1 species